GGGGGGGGGGGGGGAUUUGGUAUUGGUUUAUAUUAGAUUGGAAAAAGGUAGAAUGCCUUCUCCAGGUCAGGGAUGAGAUCAUGCUUCAAGUGGUAGAGUUUAAGUAUCUUGGGUUUGCACUGGUCCGUCAUGGUGAGAAGACAGCUGAACUGGUCACGAGCUUUGGGUAGUGACUGAAAUAACGAGAUCACUGAUACAAGUGGCAGAAAAGAGUUUUCUCCACAGGGUGUCUGGGCGCGCCGUAGAGAUAGGGUGAGAAACUCGGUCAUCCAGGAAGGGCUCAGAGUAGAUCUGCUCUUCCACAUCAAGAGGAGCCAGUUGAUGUAGCUCAUGCAUCUAGUUAGGAUGCCUCCUAAACUCCUCCCUGGUGAGGUUUUCCCGGCACGUUCAACCGGCAGACCUAAAGGAAGACCCAGGACACGCUGGAGGGCAGUGUUGUUUUAGUUGAUAUUGAUGACAAAUUUAUUUUGUUGACGCCCUUUUUUCACAUUACGAAAAAUAGAUGCUGACGAGCUAAAAAUACCUCUAUGGUGGCUAAAACAUGACAAGACAUGCAGAUGUUUUUGUUCACAAGACAAAAAUGAUGCUCAAAAUGCACAUUUCUGCCUAUCUCACAAAAGCUAAAAGUAACAGCACUGCUGUGGUCUGUGUCCCAGCUGCAGCGGCGGUGCACAUUCCGCUGCAGCUGGGACACAUUUCAGCUGAAUCUUCCAUUUUGUUUUACAGUCAGGCUGAUCGUUUCCUGCAAUGUGAUGACAAGCACCUUCUUGGCUGUGUCCACACUUCUUAAUGGGACAACAAAUCUCUUGUAAUAGAUAAUCAGGGAAGAGGAAUAUCAGUUACAAGAGAUUUGUUGUCAUCUUUGGUUUUGUUUAUAUUAAGUUUUAAAAUUCUUAAUAAAAAUAAAACUUUUCUCCAAAAAAUAUCAUCAAGACUUCAAAUAAAUAAUUCAACUUUUAAAAGGGUUGGCUUGUCUAAAACCACAAAAUCUUAGCACCUUGUGAAGCAGCGGCAUAUAGGAACAAGGUUAAAAAUGGGGGAGGGCGACAAAUUGGAAACCUGACAAUCUAUUAAAGGUCAACGUCACUAAAAAACAUUUUCAAUCAUUAUUUUUGAUUAUAAUCAGUCACUCUUGAGUCUUUUACCCGUUUUCUGCAAUAAAGUCCCAGUCAUCAUCACACACUGGUGAAAUUGCAUCUCUGUAUUUGACCCAUCCCCGUGGCCGCUCUCGGGAACUAUUUGGUGGUUUAGCUUCUGAUACAAAAUGGACUGUGGAAGGCUCGGAUUUGAAAAGCCUGACAGCUCUAUGUCACUUAACCAUAUUAACUCAUGUGAGACGUAGAGAAAGGUGAAAUAAAAUCCAUCAGCAUGGUUAACACAUUCACUGCUGUAGGCUGCACAUAUAGACUAAAGGACAGUAAAAUACACUUUUACAGGAUUCCAGCUGAAGGUAAUGGCUAACAGCCAUGAAGAAAGUUCGAAUGGAUGAUCCAUCCACAUUGUGGGAGCUAAAGUCUCAUGACAGAAAUUGGGGAGAAAAUGGUUGAGAAAUGGAUGACAAGCCUUUCUCCUGUUCUUUUGUGACUUGUUUAGAAGGAAGGAUGAGCCACACCUGUUCAGUUAAAGUCAAAAGCUUUUAUUACCCCAUGUGCAGAGUGGAGAAAUGAAAGGACGCCUGACUCCUAAUGCAUUUCUGGGGCACUCCCUACCAGAGACCUGGACACACAAAGACAUCAUCAUUUUUAGUUGGCCGCACCCUUAUCUGGUCACACCACCAGGUUCUUUGUUACAUUCUCGUUUCUAUCUUCCCUAUCUGCCUUCGUCCUUGAUGUGGUUCGGACUGUAGAACCUCCUACUGUUAACUCACUUUCUGGUAGCUACAAAGCCACAUUUUCUCAUGAACAAGCUGCAAGCUUGUUGUUCUGCAUUCCAUGAUGAUCUCAGCUGCACCUGCAGGUUCCUGGUAAGACGGAAGCACUCUAUUUUGUGUCUACAUGUUGCUGCAGACUAAAAUGCAUGUCAGUGGUAAAUGAAAGAUUAUUAAUAUUCAACUAAAUGUCUGUGGUAAAUAAAAAUAGGUGUAAGUAAAUGUAAUAAAUCAUGAGUAUUGAUGACGUAUCUGAGAGAAAAUCUUUAUUAUAAAACCCAACACAGAAUAAAAAAGUAAAGUAUAUGCCCUACACGUUCAGACACAAACAAGUUUUAGUUAAUGACCAUACUUUUGUAACUAAAUUAAUAUCUUCUUACAAAAUCACACACGUGUUCUGUAAUUGGAGUGGACAGCAUCUAAAGUUGUUUGUUUUGUGUUUACUGAGCUUUCAGGUAUGCCAAAUGUAGAAAAGUUAUUUAUUUGUAAACUAUUUGUCCCUACUGAGACCUGCCCACUUGUUCUUGUGUUGUGGGAGAGGGCUUUGACUUGGCAGCCUCUAAUGUCAUUCGUUUUGAGAGAAAAAAGAAAGAAAUCUCCAAAAUCAGCGUGUGUUUUACUAUUUACUCAAACAAAACUGGCCCUAAAAAAAUCAUCCAGUAAAGCUGAAUUUACAACAAAACACACUAAAAGGGGUCGACACUUUAGCAAAAGUUGACAUAAAAGCUUUUUAGCAUCAUCAUCAUCAUCAUCAUCAUCCUUCUCAGAUCUUUUUACUUCUGAAGCUACAUGAGGGUCUGUAUUUGUUGUGGCUGAACAAGUAGAACAAGGGCCAACAUAUGACAACAUUUUCUAUCUGUCUUUUUAAAAAUACUCUAUCGUAUCCCAGUUUUGUUUGUCAUUUUUUUGCAUCACAUUUUGAAAAAAAACAAGAGUGGUUUUGUUUUAAUCCCCAAAAGUCGAACUAAAAAUUCAUUCAAACAUGCAGCAUAUGUCUACUUUUGUAAAUCCUACCGGUUGUUAAAGCUGUUGUUAAUCACAGAGCUUACAUCACCACCUUGUGUUCAGCAGUGAGUUUGCAUGUUGUCUUUGCAUUUAACAUUUGACUAUUGUGAGAUUAAAAGGAACGUGGCAUGAGAACCUGGAGAAGUACACAAGAGCAUUUAUUCUAGAACUAGAGAAUUCAAGUAUUUGCUUUGUAUUGUAUGUGUUACUGAUGCAAACAAGAGAGACUUGGCAAGAGCUACCCAACGUGAGCAAACUGAAGUCGUCCCACCGCUGCUUAUGUAGCAGACCAGGAUGGUUCUAACCCUAACCAACCUCAACUGGACCCACUUCUCGGACCCCUCCGCCUGUAGCUGUGAUUGGUGGAUGACAAGCCUGGCCUGAACAAGAUGAUGCUGGAGAGAAGAUGCCAGAAAGACCAGGCUAAAUAAGGAUGUGUAGCACUCAUGCUGCAUGUCACGGCCAUCAGACUUGAUGUUAUUGGUUGUAUCUGUGGUUCUGAAGAGAAGGCAGCAUAACAUGGCCAAACUCACUUCUAUUGAACUGCAGGAGAGGAGCUCCAGAUGGAAAGGUCUACAAGUGGACCUCUUUCUGCAUGGAGUUUGCAUGUUCUCCCUGUGCAUGCGUGAGUUCUCUCCAGGUGCGCUGGCUUCCUCCCAAAGUCCAAAAACAUGACUGUUAGGUCUUGGUCUCUCUAGAUUGUCCUUAGGUGUGAGUGUGUGUGUGUGCUUGGUUGUAUGUCUCUGUGUUGCCCUGCGAUGGAUUGGCAGUCUAUCCAGGGUGUACACCGCCUGAAUGCCUGGAGACCAGGGGCGGCGUUAGGCCCGGCUACAUGGGCUCAAGCCCCGAAUAAUUAAUGAAAAGCCCCGGAUCUCAAACGUGGAAGUAACCUGCAGUACAAAAGUCCAACAGAGAGGGAGCAGCUGGCAGUAGCUUGUAUACAGCCUGCCUGAGCCUCCACCACUGAAGAAGAAGCCCUUCAGCAGCCGGCUUCUUCUAUACUCUCUGCCUGAAACGCAUGAGUGAAGAUGGAAUAAGGACGUUUUUUAAGUACCGCGACAGAACCCCAGCUUUGAUGAGACUGGUGUUGACUCAGGUUUGUGAGUCUUAUUUGAAAAUAUUUGUGCUGCUGGUUUGCCUAAAGUUAGCUUACUAUCAGGUAAAGUUGUUGGAGAAAGAAAGGGAAUAUUUACUAUCAUCUCACACUAAACACUAACAGGAACAAUAUUCUGCCCUGAAAAUGCUUAAUAUGUAGCUUCAGAUUAAAAAUUAUGUGGUACACGA